AACGAACGCUGGCGGCAUGCCUAACACAUGCAAGUCGAACGAGCCCUUCGGGUCUAUUGGCGCACGGGUGCGUAACGCGUGGGAACCUUCCCUUAUGUUCGGAAUAACUCCCCGACAGGGGUGCUAAUACCGGAUCAUGUCUUCUGCCCAAUGAUUUAUCGCCUUUGGAUGUGCCCGCGUUGGAUUAGCUAGUUGGUAGGGUAAAAGCCUACCAAGGCGACGAUCCAUAGCUGGUCUGAGAGGAUGAUCAGCCACACUGGGACUGAGACACGGCCCAGACUCCUACGGGAGGCAGCAGUGGGGAAUAUUGGACAAUGGGGGAAAGCCUGAUCCAGCAAGGCCGCGUGAGUGAUGAAGGCAGUAGGGUUGUAAAGCGCUUUUACCCGGGAUGAUAAUGACAGUACCGGGAGAAUAAGCGCCGGCUAACUCCGUG
rnacentral:rRNA from 1 species